GUAGCGUGAAGGAUGACUGCCUAUGGGUUGUAAACUUCUUUUAUACGGGAAUAAGUGAGCCACGUGUGGCUUUUUGUAUGUACCGUAUGAAUAAGGAUCGGCUAACUCCGUGCCAGCAGCCGCGGUAAUACGGAGGAUCCGAGCGUUAUCCGGAUUUAUUGGGUUUAAAGGGAGCGUAGGCGGGUUGUUAAGUCAGUUGUGAAAGUUUGCGGCUCAACCGUAAAAUUGCAGUUGAUACUGGCGACCUUGAGUGCAACAGAGGUAGGCGGAAUUCGUGGUGUAGCGGUGAAAUGC
rnacentral:rRNA from 1 species